ACGCAGUCCAUUGCCCGCUUGAGAGUCCACAUUGAGAGGUGUAUCCGGAGGGUCAAAGAAAACAAGCUGUUCAGCCAGGUCAUACCGCUGUCUGUGUGUGGAAGUAUCGAUCAGCUGUUCAAUGUAGCUUGCAUCUUGGUGAACUACCAGAAUGGACCACUGGUGAAGGCCUAGGCAGGAGAGAGACGCCCUCAGGGGCGAACCCACGCUGAUCUCACAACCAUCCAGGGCCAGGAGGACCAUCUGCCCACAGCCAGCCACACAGACCUCUGUCACCAGGACCAGGAGGACCAUCGGCCCACAGCCACACAGACC